GCCUGGUUUGAACUCAUGGCCUGGUGCUGGUGAUCCAGAGUGGAUGAGAUACACUCAGGCCUUGCCGUGGGUCACUCUUGUCCCCCUGGCAUCCCUGGGAGGGGCCGCCCUCCCGGGACGAUUUCUCGGAGGUCCUAACCCAGGUUCAUGAGGGCUUCGAGCUGGGCACGCUGGCCGGCCCCGCCUUUGCCUGGCUGCGCGGCUCCCUGGGCCUGGCGGAGGAGGACUAUCAGGCUGCGCUGGGCCCCGGCGGCCCCUACCUGCAGUUCCUCAGCACCUCCAAGAGCAAGGCCAGCUUCUUCCUGUCCCACGACCAGCGCUUCUUCCUGAAGACCCAGGGGCGCCGAGAGGUGCAGGCUCUGCUCGCCCACCUGCCCCGCUACGUGCAGCACCUGCAGCGGCACCCGCACUCGCUGCUGGCGCGGUUGCUGGGAGUGCACAGUCUGCGGGUGGACCGGGGAAAGAAGGUGGGUGAAGCCGAGGCGAGGUGGCUGGGCGGAGCGGGCGGCUGGAGGGCGACAGCCGGCCUCCCUCACUCCCUGUCCCGGCCCCCAGACGUACUUCAUCGUCAUGCAGAGCGUCUUCUACCCCGCCGGCCGCAUCUCCGAGAGGGCCCCAGCGGAGCUGGUUCCUCCGCCAGAUGGAACUGGAUACCACCUUCCUUCGGGAGCUCAACGUGCUGGAUUACAGCCUCCUGAUAGCCUUCCAACGUCUCCACGAGGAUGAGAGGGGCCCGG
rnacentral:sRNA from 1 species